UCCAGACUCCUACGGGAGGCAGCAGUAGGGAAUUUUCGGCAAUGGGGGGAACCCUGACCGAGCAACGCCGCGUGAAGGAAGAAGGCUUUCGGGUUGUAAACUUCUUUUCUGAGGGACGAAGAAAGUGACGGUACCUCAGGAAUAAGCCACGGCUAACUACGUGCCAGCAGCCGCGGUAAUACGUAGGUGGCAAGCGUUAUCCGGAUUUAUUGGGUGUAAAGGGCGUGUAGGCGGGAAUGCAAGUCAGAUGUGAAAACUAUGGGCUCAACCCAUAGCCUGCAUUUGAAACUGUAUUUCUUGAGUGCUGGAGAGGCAAUCGGAAUUCCGUGUGUAGCGGUGAAAUGCGUAGAUAUACGGAGGAACACCAGUGGCGAAGGCGGCCUGCUGGACCGUGACUGACGUUGAGGCUCGAGAGCGUGGGGAGCAAACAGGAUUAGAUACCCCAGUA
rnacentral:rRNA from 1 species